UUUGGGAAGGCAGAAGGGUGGGGCUUGGGCCGCGAGCGGACGGCGGGAGGAGGGCGCAGAAAGGGGAAUCGGAAGCUGCCCGGCUUCACAAUAAUCUGGUUGGAAACGCCGUGCAGUGCCCCGAGCCGCAGGAGCCGGAGCCAAUUACAAGUUUAUGUAAUGGAGUAAGUCUCUCUGGCCUCCCUCCUCCGCCCCGCCCCUGCCGGCUCCGGGAUGGGGGAGGAAUGGCUCUGAAAUGCAGGAUUGCUCCCGGAUGGAGGAGGUCCUUUCUGGGUUUACCCCUCGGGGCCCUUUCCCUGCGCGAGGCACUUCUCGGGUCCGCUUUUGGGUUCUGGAAGCCUCUGGGCCCCGCAGACCCCUCAGGGAAGCCGAGGGGGCGGGGAGCCAGGUCGCCCCAGGUCGGCCCGGAGCUAAGGGAGGAGGCGCCCGGGCGGCGUUCACGCGGCUUCCCCGUGGCACGGUGGGAGCUCGCCGGCCUUUACGUAACUCCGGCCCUUCGCGGAGGCCCGUGUGAUACACUGAGUCACGGGAACGCGAGCGGGAGAGCACCAGCAGUGCCCGCCCACGUGGCCGUCAGAUGACUUGCGCGAAGUUUGCACGGGCUCGAUUACCGUAAGGCUGAAGGCUUCUGAUCAGCAUCCGCUAUUAGUCAUCCCCGAGGGACAUUUGAUACAGGCAACCGCCCAGGGCUGGGACAGAGCAGCGAGGAUGACGGGAUACGGGAGUGAAUGCUGCGCCGGCCACCUCUGAGUUCUGUUGGAACCCGAGUGUAUGCCGAGUCAAGGAAACCUACUGCGGAAAGUGCCAGGGAAGACAAGUCACUUUCCUGGACAAAGAUUCUUAGAUUCUUCUGGGCUAGUUGCAGAGAGUCCGGGAGAAACUGUUCAAAGGGAACCUGGCAGGCAACGGACCAGGCUUCAGAUUUAUGGAUUGGUUUUAGAGAUUGAGUGCUCCCCACCUGUUAAAAAUACACGAUUUUCACAUCAACUAUCUGUCAGUUUCUCUAUCCUAGAGUGAGGCCCAAGGACCAGCCCUGCCUCCACCCAGAAUCGGAGUCUGUACGUGAAGGAGCAUGUGCAUGCAGACAACACAGUGUCCUAGCUGCUGAGUGUGACAGCCCAUGGUAAACACUGCAUGGACUCCUACAAACACUCCCAUGUGUGGAGGAAUGUGCAGUCCCGGUCUUUGACCAUUGGUUAAUUCAAUCAAGAUUUAUCCACAGCCUAAAUUCUAGAGCCAAUCCGGUGGAAACCAACCAGGGCUGAAUCAGAAAACUCCUGGUUUCACCUUGAACAUGCCUUUGCAAUGCAAAGCAUACUCCAGCAUAUGUACAAUUUGUUUUGUUAGAAAGGGAGGGAAAAACAUGGAAGGGAGAUAAGGUGUUUCUUAACAGUUAAAGGGAGUGGGAGGGAGAAAACAACUGUUGCUUUCACGGGCAGCAGUUAACGCCAAACGCAAUUUUCUACUUAAAGGAAGAACAAAUAUACUGGGGUGGUAGGCUUUUGAAAGGAGGAGUAGAGUUGGGGUGAGUGGAAACCUCACCCUGGCUUUAUUUAGCUGUAGGGCCUUGUUAAGACACAUUUGCCCUGAGAUAAAAGGUUUUCUUUUGGGACAAGCCCAGAAUGACUUUGCUUGAUUCAAUUAAGCAAGGCCUAAUGAAAGAGAAUUCCAGCUUGGAGAUAUGCAUCAUCUCACCAGGUGAGUUGUAAAUACAUUCUGUCCAGGUUUAAGAGGCAAGCUCUUGAAAAUUUAAUCUAUUUUAAAAAUGCAUAUCCUUGCCACAAAUUUUACAAAUUGCUUUGAAGAAGAUCGCUGUGCUGAUUGCAUGCUGAGAUAAUUAUUCUGUAUCACCACUUAGGGAACAAGAUUUUUUGAUAAAGACUACAGUGUCACUCUUUGUUAAUGACUUGGGAGGGGAAGGAGAGAAUCCAGUACAACUGGGGCUGGUUUUAUCCUCCUGCAUCCUUUUAAUGAACUAUUUCCUUUCAGACUCAGGCUGUGGGAAGCUGGUAGAAUCUUGGCUUAUGAACUUUGAACCUAUUGAGUAAGCUUUGCUCACCUAUCAAAUCCCUCAUACCAACGAAGGUGAGAAUCGUUGGUCUUUACCCUCUUGACUCUGAAAUCAGGCUUGUUGACUCUAAGCAGUCCCCCUAUUGUGCUCCCCAGGUGAAGAUGAAUAGCCAAAUGGGGAUACAGAACCCUGCUCUACCUCCUCAGGGACUAGCUCCUAUGUACCCUUAAGGACUUAGCUCUCUGUCUCCAGAGGGAGAGCUCUGAGGAGUCAUCAGUGAAGGAGCCUGUGAUAGCGUGUUGAUGGAUGCUGAGUAGCUGCGAGUCUGCGCCUCUCUUCUGGAUAAUAUGGCAGUCCGGGACACACAGAAAUCUGGUUUGGGCUUUUACACUAAGCAAAUAGCUGAACUUAAACUGGGCAGUCAGCUGUAAGUUAUCUUCCUGGGACACAGUAACUCCAAGCUUCUCAUUGAGAUUUGGCAGAUUGGAAGAUGGAAUUCAGACUGAGGAUUUGGGGUGAGAGUGGAACAUGUCUCUAGCUCUUUUUCUAUCUAAAGCCAGCCUCCCAAGAAACUGAUGCAGAGAGGGAACCACCCUGCCUGGGGUUCGGGUAAGCCACUUUCAGAAUCUCAAGUAAUCUCCAUGCCAUGUGAUUGGAUGAUCUAAGGCACCCAUCUCAAUGCCCAGAGCAUGGCUGGGGCUCUGCGGCUGUUCGGUCUUCUUCCCACCCCUACCACCCCUGCCUGGAGCCUGUCCACACCCAGCUGACUCCUGGGAAAGACCACUCUGGCAUCCGGCUCUGAGCUGUCACAGACAGGUGGCCCUCUUGGUCCACCAGAGUGAUAGGAUGCCAACCACUAGCUGCCUCAAGGAGCUUGUGAGCAGCCCCAGGCUUGACCUUCCAGAGGAAAGGCCCAGCAUUGACCCCAGAAGCUCAGGAGGGGACAUGACCUCCUUCUAUCUUGCUCAGGAUUUUUCUCUGUGCACGCAGGGCCAUCACAUGGAUCUGCAUUCACAUUUGCAUCUGCCACCAGGUAUUUUCCCAACAUACACAGCACCAGGAGCUGGAAUUUCCCACCUCUGUCCCUUGUGGGAGGACUGCCAACCAGUCCUGCAGUAGGAGCUGAGCAUUUAGAUGGUGCUUGCCGUUACAUGCAUCCUGUUUUCAAAGACAGAAAAGGGCCAGACCUCCACAUUGUUUUUCCAGGGUGCAGAUUAAAGUUUUUCCUUCUCAUAAUCUCAAAUAUGCACCUGGAGUCCCACCCUCUCGGGUUUUGUCAUUAUUGAGAACAACUUCAUAUCUAAUUAUAAGAAAAAAACCUGAUUUAACUGAUAGCUAGCCAGCCAUCAAAUGUCACUGAGGAGACCUGAUUUAUCCUUUUUAUACAUACUAGAAGAGCAAAGGAACAAAGAGUUAGGAACAAAUGCUAGACACAGCAAUGACACAUAUCAUUAAGUAAAAAUGUGACUAGCCUCGUUUACAAGUGUUGCCCCUUUUAACAGGCACACACCCCGCAUUUUCAUUAACCCUGGGUGGCUGAAUCGCAGCAUGUCUAACUGAAAUGCUGAGAAUUUUGUCAAAGCCCGCCUUAAUGGAAAAGGCAGGGCCACCUACCAUGAACUUUUCUCUAUGACUUCAUUCUUCAGCAGUGCUCAAGUGUAAAUAAACUUGUUUACCACGAUCAGAAUGGUGAUGUUAAUGAAGUCUUAUUUGUAUCCCCACAAUGACAAGUAAUCUGUGCAGAGUUGAACUCAGGAGAGUGGAGGAAAUAACUAGAGAAAUUGUAUUUCUGUUCUAAAGUUUCCAUACAAAUGCCUUGGGCCAAAGUUAGUACAGUCAAUAUUCUUCUUUGAUUUUGAUUGUGCAUCCAUAGUAGAGAAAAAGCUUAUUACUGUGCCUAAUGUGGUAAACAAAAUUAUACUGUAUGCAACGAGAACAAAAGUCAAGUAAGAAGCAUUGAUAAAUGCACCAACGGGGUAACCGUUGUGGCCAGUAUGUGGUUUUUAUGAAAUGAAUGCAUGAAUACAAGGGCCCUAAUUAUUGCUUUCAAUUGACAAACCAUGGUAAAUAUAGAGAAUGUUGCAGCACAACUCUGGCUGUGUUGCAAAACAGCUUUAGAAGUAAAUAUGGAAAUUCUUGUGUACAUGGCAUUAUAUAAAACAUUUUUUUAAAAAGCAAAGCAAUUUUUUAAUACCUUAUUGAGUAGACCUGGUGGAUGACUAAUUUUGUUUGUUUUUGUUGUUCUAACGUGUGGAUCCACAAACUGCAGCCUGUGGGCUGGACCUGACCCACUGCCUGUUUUUAUAAAUAAAGUUUUA